GUCUGAUGGAGGAAAUAAAGCCUUUUCUUCUCCUGGAAAAGUGCAGUGGAGCGCGAUGGUGACUAGCUCAGUGCACUCCCGAGAGGCGGGGAGCUGUCCUUAUCAAUUCAAGCUCAUUUCCCCCACCCUGGCCCUCCCCGCUCUCCUGGUUCUCAAACUGUUGGCUGCUCCUUCCGCCACUCAGUUUUGCUAAUCUAGCAAAGAUGCUUUGAAACCUGGCGGAGGUUACCUCCCGCCCCCUAGAAGUUUAGCGUUCUCCACUUGGAUCAUAGUUAGCACCUGGGCUGUCCUAGGUUGGGGGGAGGGGACCCUUGUCCUGGCGUUUCUUUCUCUUGGGCAGAAGGCGCUGUCGCUUUAACUCUGUUAACUACGUGAAGUUCAAGUUAGAAGCUGGGCUGAGGAGAAAGAGACCCUCUGUGCCCACAUCCCGCUCCAAAGAGCGCUGCUGUUACUGCUGUUGCUGCUGCUGCUGCCGCUGCUGCCGCCGCUGCCGCCGCCGACACCCGUCAGAGGGAUCCCACAGAGACCUGCUCCUUCCAUUGCAGAUCACUCUGUCCUGGCACCCGCACUUGAGCUCCUUCCUUUUCACUAGAGACUGGGAAUUCUUCGAACCACUUUUAAUGCCCAGUUCCAGGAGUGAGAAUCAAACCACAGGAAAAGCAUCUGCUGUUUUACAAAACAUAACCUUUCAACUUUGGGGUACAUCUGAUUGGAAAGGCAGCCAUGUCCAGCUUACAGUUUUGACUCUAAGCAUUGACAACUGAAGCUGGGAGAUUUCUGCCACUUUGGUUCUGCCAUGGACUAAGGUGCAUUUUAGUAGAGGACAUGUUCUCCAGACUUUAUCUCAUGAUGUAUUGCACCCUUUCAUUUAUAGCCCUGUACUUCUGUUGUCAAGGGAGAAAAAAGAAAGGAAAGGCAUGCCCUUGAAUGAAAUACAGAUGAAAGAAGACUGGGCAGCAAUUAAAUAAAGUUUUGGUCCCUGAUAAAUUUGGAAAUGUG
rnacentral:lncRNA from 1 species